UGAGAACCCAAUGAAAUGACAUUCUUUGAAGAUCAAAGACUCGAAGAUUUGGACAUGGUUUCAUUUAUAUGUUGGUUAGCUGAAAGUCACAAUUUCCAAGAACCUCUUGAUGUUAACGAAGAGGAAUUUUGUUACAACAUGGAUUAUAUUCAGAGUCUCACCUAUACCUAAUAUAGAAGAAGAGGCAUUCGACUUUUGAACUGAUGAGAUUUAGAUAUGAUUUUGGAUUUGAAUUGAUUCCAAUGGGUUGAGACAUUCCCUGAUCUUGGAGUGGAGGGCCUUCCUGGUGGUGCAAGGGGUUAAGUUGCAACCUAUGAAGCUAUUCGUAGCAGCUGCAGCACAACUUUGAUCCGAGGCCAAGGAGCAACCCACAUGGUGCAGCAGAUCUCUCCUGACAUGGCGCAGCAGACCUCUCCUGACUUGCCCGCUACUCCCCUCAGCAGUGUGUUUCAUCUGCCUGUUCCAUUA